rnacentral:rRNA from 1 species
UUAGAGCUUGCUCUUAUGAAGUUAGCGGCGGACGGGUGAGUAACACGUGGGUAACCUGCCCAUAAGACUGGGAUAACUCCGGGAAACCGGGGCUAAUACCGGAUAACAUUUUGAACCGCAUGGUUCGAAAUUGAAAGGCGGCUUCGGCUGUCCUCUAUGGAUGGACCCGCGUCGCAUUAGCUAGUUGGUGAGGUAACGGCUCACCAAGGCAACGAUGCGUAGCCGACCUGAGAGGGUGAUCGGCCACACUGGGACUGAGACACGGCCCAGACUCCUACGGGAGGCAGCAGUAGGGAAUCUUCCGCAAUGGACGAAAGUCUGACGGAGCAACGCCGCGUGAGUGAUGAAGGCUUUCGGGUCGUAAAACUCUGUUGUUAGGGAAGAACAAGUGCUAUUUUUAAUAAGCUGGCACCUUGACGGUACCUAACCAGAAAGCCACGGCUAACU